rnacentral:lncRNA from 1 species
UUUUUGGGCAGAAGCUUUUCUCCUGCUCUUGUCUUGCACAGCUCGGGAAAGAGGAAAGGUUCCCAUUGCUAAGCCAGGUCCAGGCCAGUUUUGACUCUUUAGGGAAACACUGUGCCCUGCUGGAGGAUGCUGAAAAUUUAGCCUUAUGGGCUUGGAGGAAAGCAGAAAGUCUUGAUAUGAGCCUUCCUCCUUUGGCAGGAGGCUGAUGGGACCAGGACGCCUGCUUCAGUUUGUCGCUAAUGUGAAUCUCUGGGCAGGAUGAGGCUGUUGGAGGCUCCUGGAUGGACCAAUGGAUCACAGCUGUCCCAGACCAUCAUGGCACAAAUCCUCCCCGGCGCAGCCAGCUUGGCUGCAUGGGGAUCUGCUGCAGCAGGAAUGGUGUUGGCUCUUCCUUUCCCGGCCCUACAACCUCGCAAGCACUGAGAGCUGGGGGCUGGAGCUGGAACUGCAGAUAGCAGAAGAGGUCACUCCAGCAAUUCAAUGCUUUUUGCACUAUCCCUCUUUGCAUACUUGAGCAAAGGCCAUGGCCAAUCUGACCUUUUGAGAGACCUGAUUUAAGAAUUCCUGCCCAGUACGAGUCGAGAGGAGCCGUUGUAAGAGCUCUGAAGCAGCUCUAGGGUCUGCCUGUCAAGUCUGAUCAAACUCCGGAAAGCCAAAAUGUGCCCAUCUCCUUUGGAAAC